GCCUGGGUGGCUCAGCGGUUGAGCAUCUGGCUUCGGCUCAGGUUGUGAUCCUGGGGUCCCGGGAUCGAGUCCUGCAUCAGGCU
rnacentral:tRNA from 1 species